UAUGGGGUCUCGAGCCCCUUCAAGCUCUUCCAGUUCUUUCUCUGAUUCCUUCAACGGGGGUCCUAUUCUCAGUUCAGUGGUUUGCUGCUGGCAUUCGCCUCUGUAUUUGCUGUAUUCUGGCUGUGCCUCUCAGGAGAGAUCUACGUCAGGUUCCUAUCGGCCUGCACUUCUUUGCUUCAUCCAUCUUGUCUAAUUGGAUGGCUGUAUAUGUAUGGGCCACAUGUGGGGCAGGCUCUGAAUGGGUGUUCCUUCUGCCUCUGUUCUAAACUUUGUCUCCCUAUUCCCUCCAAAGGGUAUUCUUGUUCCCCUUUUAAAGAAUUAGUGAAGCAUUCGCAUUUUGGUCAUCCUUCUUGAGUUUCAUGUGUCCUGUGCAUCUAGGGUAAUUCAAACAUUUGGGCUAAUAGCCACUUAUCAUUGAAUGCAUACCAUGUGUCUUUUUCUGUGAUUGGGUUACCUCACUCAGGAUGAUAUUUUCCAGUUCCAUCCAUUUGUCUAUGAAUUUCAUAAAGUCAUUGUUUCUGAUAGCUGAGUAAUAUUCCAUUGUGUAGAUGUACCACAUUUUCUGUAUCCAUUCCUCUGUUGAAGGGCAUCUGGGUUCUUUCCAGCUUCUGGCUAUUAUAAAUAAGGCUGCUAUGAAUAUAGUGGAGCACAUGUCUUUGUUAUAUGUUGGGGCAUCUUUUGGGUAUAUGCCCGAGAGAGGUAUAGCUGGGUCCUCAGGUAGUUCAAUGUCCAAUUUUCUGAGGAACCUCCAGACUGAUUUCCAGAAUAGUUGUACCAGUCUGCAAUCCCACCAACAAUGGGGGAGUGUUCCUCUUUUUCCACAUCCUCACCAGCAUCUGCUGUCACCAGAGUUUUUUAUCUUAGCCAUUCUCACUGGUGUGAGGUGAAAUCUCAGGGUUGUUUUGAUUUGCAUUUCCCUUAUGACUAAAGAUGUUGAACAUUUCUUUAGGUGUUUCUCAGCCAUUCGGCAUUCCUCAGCUGUGAAUUCUUUGUUUAGCUCUGAACCCCAUUUUAUUAAUAGGGCUAUUUGUCUCCCUGCGGUCUAAUUUCUUGAGUUCUUUGUAUAUUUUGGAUAUAAGCCCUCUAUCAGUUGUAGGAUUGGUAAAGAUCUUUUCCCAAUCUGUUGGUUGUUGUUUUGUCCUAACCACAGUGUCCUUUGCCUUACAGAAGCUUUGCAGUUUUAUGAGAUCCCAUUUGUCGAUUCUUGAUCUUAGAGCAUAAGCCAUUGGUGUUUUGUUCAUGAAAUUUUCUCCAGUGCCCAUGAGUUUGAGAUGCUUCCCCACUUUUUCUUCUAUUAGUUUGAGUGUAUCUGGUUUGAUGUAGAGGUCCUUGAUCCACUUGGACUUAAGCUUUGUACAGGGUGAUAAGCAUGGAUCGAUCUGCAUUCUUCUACAUGCUGACCUCCAGUUGAACCAGCACCAUUUGCUGAAAAUGCUAUCUUUUUUCCAUUGGAUGGUUUUGGCUCCUUUGUCAAAAAUCAAGUGACCAUAGGUGUGUGGGUUCAUUUUUGGGUCUUCAGUUCUGUUCCACUGGUCUAUCUGUCCAUCUCUGUACCAAUACCAUACAGUGUUUAUCACUAUUGCUCUGUAAUACUGCUUGAGUUUAGGGAAGGGAUCGAUACAUACAGGAUUUUGUGUAUCUAGAUGAGCCAACUGUAUCUUAUCUAGGUGAGUGAUUAUAUCUUAUCAAUUGGAUAAGGUCAUUGUAUUGUGUCCUCUUUCAUGUGGCAAUUUCAUUGAGUUCAAGAGAGUGUGUGGUGGCUAGACAUACUGGGCUGCCAUGGAAUUGGGAUGUGUAUGUCUAGCACAGUGGCAACCUGCCUUGGGAAGUAGAUGAGUAGAGAGUAGCCACCGGCAGUGUGAUAUGGGUUGGAGCAAAGCUGGUGAGACGCUUUGCUGACUGAGAUGAAGACAUCCACCAGAUGCCAUGAGGCACUACGGUGCUGACUCUAGUGUGGGGAAAAGAAAACCCCUAUUUCAAUUACUGCAACAACCACUUUCCCCAACAACCUAAGUCUCCCAAAAUCUUCAUUGUAUCACUGGGGUUACUUCUAUCUUUGGUGCCAGCAUCAAUAUUAUCUAGCUAUCCAAGGAUCUUAAGAUUUAAGGGUUACACAAAUGACGUCAUCAUUCAGAAGAGAUAUUUUUUCUGAUGCAAGAUUAACUUUAUACUUAUAAAAGAUGCUUUCUACUCUGAAAGACAAUUUUAUUUUAUUCCUUUUUCUUUCUUCCUUUCAUUCCUGUUCUCUCUUUCUCAGUCUCUCCCUCCUCUUCUCCUCUCUUCCCCCUCCCUUUCCCUUACCUCACCCCCUCCCUUCCUUGCACUUCCCUCUUCUCUCCUCUCCUUUUCUGUCUUCUCUUCUUCCCUUGCUGUUCCUCUCUCAUCUUCUUUCAAUUCUUUUUGUCCUCCUCACUUCUAGUGCUUAAGAUGGUACCCAGUGCUUUAGGCCUUCCAAGCCACUGUUUAUCAUGAAGCUCUCCCCAAAGCCCUUGUUCAAGCCCCUUGACUAACAAAUGAAAUGAACACAGUUGGUCAUGUGAUUGAGGUCCAUUCAUUAAUACCUAAGUAUCUAAGAUCACAUUAUUUCAUAGCAUAAUCACAAUGGCUAGCUGCUGAAAUAACAAGUAUAGUAUCAUUAAAAGCAUGGGUGGCUAUGAAGUGGUAGAGAAAAAGGAUUACCAAGACCAUUUGUUUAGAGAAAAAGUGGACAUGGGAUGAGCUGCUCUGCUUUGGAGAAAUCUUUAUGACAGUCCUCUUGAUCAUCAACUGGACCAGAUUGAGAAGCACCUUCAUAAUUAAUAAGGAAUAUGUGUUUGUGUGUGUGUGUGUGUGUGUGUGUGUGUGUGUGUGCAUGCAUGUGCCUGUGUCUGUGUGAUUUCCACAGAUGAUUAACUAUGUUCUGAAUAUUAGUGGCACCUUCCCAUGGACUGGGUGUCCAGGUGAAAUAGGAGAAAUUAAGCAUAUAUUUCUGUGGUUUAAUUUGUACUAACGUAAGUUGCACCUCCCCUCUUUUCCCCUACUCUUAUUCUUGUCCACAGUGAUGUGAGGUGUUCUACUCCACACCCCUCCAUGACUGUGAAAGUGAGCUAAAUGAAUCUAUCCUCCUGUAAAUUGUUUCUCUUAGGUAUUUCCCAGGGCAAUUGAAAGUCAGAACAACCAGGACCUUGGUACUCAGGUGGAUUAGUUGCUGUGUGCACAACAGUUGUGGUGUCGUGGAGGAUUCCAUCCAGAUUCUGAAAGAAUGCCGGAUAGCAUGUGAUCCACAGUCCCUGUCAGUAGCUCUUCAAGGAACAGUGGUUGAAGUAUGAGAGUGAAGCUUGAGAUGUAACCAAGGCCCCAGAACCUUACCCCUGAGAGCAAUGAGGAACAUCUUCCAAGAAAAGCUGCCCCAGCCUAAAAGAUAAACGGAGCUCCUGCCCCUCAUUGAAGAAGCUUCUCACAGAGAAAGACCAUGACAGAAAACCACAACUCAUCAAAAUGCCUAGAAAAAUGAUAGUGGGGUGCCCCGCCCCAAGACAUACAUCUACAUCGUAACUCCUGCACCCAAGGCUCACAACAUGGCAAAGGAGACAGGAAGACUAUGAUCCAGAGGACCAGGAAGUCUGCCCUGAGACUGUGUCUCCUGGAAAUGACCAGGAAGCUUCCUCACGGCACCUGAGCUAUAUGGCUGCCUAACCAAGGCCUGAACAUGGCAUCAAGAAGCUACUGUCCAGCUCCCCCAGGAGAGCUUGGUAGAAGGCAUGGCUUUAUGUCUGUGACUCAAAUGGACCUGAAAAUGUUGAAUCGCACAGCUUCUCAGGGUCCUGGCAGCAAGGGCGAUGUCCUUCGUGGCUUUCCUGUGGAGUCAUGACCCAAGCAUAAGGAGCAGAGGCCUUGCAUUCUCAGAAGCAGGUUCAUUCUCCAGAAAUAAAGGCUGGAGCUCAAUGAAACCAAGCAUAGCCCGAUCAUCCUUCUAAUUCCAAUCACUGAAUCUCUCUUUUCCUUCUUCGGGGAGGACAAAAUGUGCAAGAGUCCAGGAAUGUCACAAAGGGAGCAAAAAUCCCUCUCUUGGGAAUUCAGAGUGUAGGGUAGCCCCAUCCUGUAUAGGGGCUAUCUCAUGGCCAUUUCCCCCCAUAUUCUUCUUGACUCAGAACUUCAUAUUCUCUCCAAUUAUUUGUUGGAUUUCAUCCAGAUUGAUUUUUGGAUGCACAUUGCAGACUGAGUGAUCUUUCUACAAACUAACACACAUUUUCCACUUCUGUCCCCAUGAUUGAGUUCAGAGUAAUUUGCGUAAAGUGUAACUUGUAACGUUGUUUGUGUCUUUCAGCCUGCCAAGAUCGCUCCAUUGACGACUUUGCCUGUCUCCGUUUUUCAUCUCAGCUAGUCCAAACUGUUGGCGCUCCCUUAAACAAACUGUGGCCUUGGGUACCUCCCUCCACCUUACCCUCCUAUUCCUCUUCCAUAAGUGUUUGGGGGUCUCUUCCUUGGAUUCACAACAAGACUAUUUGCAUUGCUAUCUACAAGCUAUCUGUGUCCUGGUAUUUUAUAAUUUAAUGAAUGUAUGACAUCCUAUUAAGUGAAUAUUAAA